UCCCAGUGCCAGCACGAUGCCUGCAGAGGGAGAAGAGCUGUUGGGUUAGUAUUUGUAGAAUGCGGGGACACAUGCAUGCAGGAAGUGGGUGUUACGUUGUGUUAUGUUUGCUGGGCUCUGAGCUGAGCACGGGGAGCACAGAGGCAGAGAGGCUCUGGCCUGCCCGCAAAGCCUUCCCAGCCUGCCGGGUCAGAGGAAGCCCCGGCUGUGGAGGAAGACGGACGCGUCAGCUCCCCAGCACCUCCUGGGACUGCUGUGAGAAGGUGAGGACGGCUGGCACGGUGCUUCACAAACAGGAGGGCUGCAGGCGGAGAGGAGGAGGGGAGGGUCAUCUUGAACCCCCCACGGUGCCGAGCCAGGCCCCUCCUGCUGGCACCACUCACCGCUGACCACACUGAAUAGCCUGCGGGUGCCCAUAGAGCCGCCCCAGAUUCUCAGAAGAGGGGGCAAGGAAACACCUGGAGAGGCCCAGCGGGUCCUGCCGAAGAUCGCGAUGGGAGAGUGAUGAGGAUAAACGGCUGUCUGUCUCUGGAAUCUUGUGAGAGAAAUGCAGCUCCAACCCAUUUUGUAGAUACGGAGACUGAGGCUGAAGGCUUUCAAAUGGCGUGGUUGGCCCGGGAGACAGGACCUGUAUUUGCUGAGCACGUGCUCUGUAUUAAGCUCUGACAGACAUGAGGUCCAUCCUCGAGAGGCUUCCGAUCUAGCCCAGGGGAAGGCUUGAAUAGAAGCCAUUCAGGUAAAGCAACAGCUACAAACUGAGAUCAGGGCCAUGAAGGAGAAGAACCAGGUGUUUGAAACGGAAGUAAGAAGAGGCUUACGUCGGUAAGGGGGACGACUCUCUGAGAAAGUGGCAUUUAUGCCGAGAUGGAGGCUGAGUCACAGGAAGAGCUCCAGGUGAAGGGACCAGUGCGUGCAAAGGCCCUGAGGUGGGAAGGACCUGGCGUGUUCCUGGAGCAGAGAAGUGGCCAGUGCGUCUGUGGGGAGAUGAGCAAGACCCAAACCUUUGCAAGGCGCCCCCAUGAUGAGCCAAGCCUUCUGGUGUAGAGCUGAGCUCUAAGUCAGAGUUCUGACUUCAGUCUAGAGACUUCUCCAUACCUCUCUGGGGCCUGGUCAGCCCCAGUUUUGGGCGGAGCCCCACCCUGCCACAAGGGAGCCCCUAGGCUCUGCCUGACCACCUCAUCUGUCACGAUCUCCCCCUCCCCCCCACCGCAGUAUACAGACAGCGCCACCAGUGUGGCCUUCUGCUCCCUGUCUGGUGUGGACCUUCCACCUCUCCUGAACUACCCCCUUCCUUGAGCCGACAGGCAGCAUUCCUCUGAGUCAGGGAGCGGGGGCCGUGGGGGCGAGCCGAGGGAGGGCUGUGCAGGCUUUCAGGAGCAUUACAUCUGGAGAGGGAGACCGGAAUGUUUGUGUCUGAAAUUUAGCUAAUAUCCCAGGAAUUUCUCCUGGCGGUUCAGAGGGUUCCUAGGGGGACUGCAAAGCUGGGAUGUCUGGGUUCUGGAGGCGGGCUGGCCUCGCUCAAAGCCUCUUUGUCUCCGUGGCUCUGCCUGUGUCGAUCUGGCUAGGCAUCUGUGUGCCUUUGUGUGUGUGUGUGUGUGUGUGUGUGUGUGUACCUGAGUAUCUUUCUGGGUCUACAUCAUGGUGUGACUGGAGUCUCUGUGUCUCUCCGAUUCGUGGUACGUCAGUGGGCACAGCACGCGAAGACCCCGACACCGGCCCGGGUGCCCCGGACCCCGCCGAUGCUCAGCAGCCUUUGAAGCCAAGCACAGGCCACCCCCCGCAGUGUCGCCCAUGGCUGCCUGCUGGCCUCUCGGCCCCAGAGCCGCCAUCAUACAGCCCCUCAGGGGCUUCCGACCGCUGGAGGCCUCGUCACCCGUCCUGGAAACAUCUCAAGCACACGGACAGCCCAUUCUAAACGUUUCAUUCUUUAUGUGGUGUAUUCGUUUUCUAGGGAUGUUGUAACACAUGCCACAAGUUGGGUGGCUUAGAACAGUCCCGAAGGCCAGACGUCUGACAUCAGGGUGUUGGUGCCGCCUUGCUCCCUCUCGAGGCCCCAGGGAGGAUCCCUCCUGGCCUCUUCCGGCCUCUGGCGGUUGCUGGCAAUGCUUGGCGUUCCCUGGCCCGUAGACACAUCCCUCCAGUCCUCCCUUCUGCCUUCACACGGCUUUCCCCUGUGUGUAUCUGUGUCUCAGAUCUCCGUCUCCUUGUGAGGCCCACCCGCAAUCCAGAACCCUCUCUCGUCCCGAUCCUUAAUUACAUCAGCAAAGGCCUGAUUGCCAAAUGAAGAAACAGUUCACCUUCCCGGGUACUGGGUGUGUCAGGACUUGGGCAUAUCGGGUGAAGGAAUGUAAUCCGGCUCACUUCAUGGCAGCUGUAGUUCUAGAAACUCAACAAUAGCCCGUCGACCUGAGCGGUUGAUGAUGACAAAUAACAGAGCCCCCACGAUUGUCUGGGUUAGAGGUCCCCUAGCACACCUGGCAGCGGGCCCCCCACAUCGUCUCUGGGUAAGCUGAAACACCUGCGGACACAGAAAGCCCAUCACGCCCCGUGCACGCUGGCUUACGAGGGGGCCCGGGGUGGGCGGCCAGGCUGUCAGGAAAUACGGAGGAAGAAGGAAAGGUGCCUCCUGCCUUCCUGAGGGCUCAAGGCUUCGUCACUUUCUGACACUGAAGGGUAGACCCUGGUGAAACGAAGAUGUCCAGCCAGCUCAGGAGGCAGAAACGGAGCAAGAAACGGAGCAAGCGUUCCGAAGCCAGGCUCUGCCCGGGACGUGAGUGGGGUGGCGGCAAAGUCCUAUUUCCUGGUCCUUGCGCUACAUCUGCUCUUGCAGAGUGGGCCUGGGGAGGCCUUCCGGCUCUCUGGGCGUCAGCCGUGUGCUGGAAUUGCAAAGGCUGGCCCUUCCUGUCUCAAGGCUACGGCGAGGCUCUCCACCGCGUGGAUCGGGGCAAUCCGUGCCUACAAAGGCCGAGGCUGUUUUCGUGGUUAAGGGAGUAGCUAGAACGAGAACAGCAGCAGGCAGCUUGCUUUAUGUGAAUCCCGCACCCUCCAGGAGAUCUACAAGGCAGCAAAUGGGCAGGCAAGUGGCAUCGUUGAGCACCGACUGUAUGCCAGGCAUUCUUCUAGGCCAGGGGCUACAAUUUCUCAUCUAACGGUGCCAAGGGCCCUGCACGGCACAGGCGUUAGGGAACCCGUAUUUUUUUCAGAGGAGGAAAAUGAAGCAAAAUAUCAACCGAGAUCACAUCGCCAGAAGGUGUUUAGAGAUCUACAAAGAAGUCACUGGCAAGUGGCUUGAGGUGAGGGCCGGGGCGACGGAGAGGCAGGUUCAUUAUGAAACAUGGAUACAAGUCUUCGAGUCAAAAGGAAUAAAUAAGCGGCUGAUUUCCCUGGA